GUACCCAUGCUACCCCUUCCUACUGCCCGGCCCUGUUUCUGCAGGGGUUUGGGGGUGUCUGUAUGUUUGUUUUGUAAUGGAAGAGUCAUAAUUACUAGGUUUUAAUUGUCUUAGUAGCAAUUAAGGUUAAAAGCUCUUAAGAGUCAUUAUCUAGGUAUUUGUAAAAGCCUUGGCCAGAAUGUUCGAGAACAGUGGUUAAGAGCUUGAGGACCAAAAGUCAAGUCUGAUUACAGAGGUGACUCAGACUCUAAGGAAUUACCAUGACUCUCUGGGUAUCAGCUUUUCACCUAUUAAAUAGGAAUAAAAAUAUAAGGUAAGUGUACCUAAGGUGGAUAUCUGAAAUCAAAACUGCCAGCUACCAGUGUGGCAUUCCAAAGCAUGAUGCAGGCAUGCAUACAUUCAUGUAUGUAUGUGAUUAUAGAGAUAGAUUUGCAUUUACAUAUGUACACAUACAUACAUGUAUACAUGUGUGUGGUUAUUCAUUGUUUUUUAAAUAAAAUUUGAAUGACCAUGUUUGUGUACUUUUUUUAUUUUGUAUGACUAUAAUGAAAUGAAGUAAAGAGAGUUCUAUUCUGGCUUAAAAGGUCUGGAAGGAGAAGAUAGGCAACCCUAGUUGGCAUCGCCCCAGAGAGUCUCAUGGCACAUAAGAACCAAUGCUCAUAUCCUGACCCAGCAAACAGAAAGGGGGCAGGGGCAAGCAGGGGCCCACAAUGCAUUUCAAGAGUUCAACUCUUUGUGUCUGUGCCUUUGUUUGUAUGCCUGCCUGUCUGUCUGUUUUGGCUAAAGUGGACUUUGUUUACAGUCCUCUACCCCAGCUUCCAGUGUUAUCUAAAGUCUAUGUUUUAAAGGUCCAUGGUAUCUUAGGCUGUUGUCACCCUUGAUGAAGCCUUAAACACAUGGGCCUUCAGGGGCAUUCAUUAGGCAAACUAGCAUAUACUAAGGAAGGGCUUUAUUUUGCCCUUGGUUUUAUUCCUUUGUGUAAGAUAUAGGACAGUGUGGAAUUUACCUUGUGUGGUGAGCCCAGUAUGUCCUUAGUCCUGUCUGUGUAGAAGUGUUUCAGGAAUUGCAGUUGGGCUCAGGUGUUUCUUAAUGAUUUGUAGAAUCCAUUCAGUUCUCAUCCUCGCAGUUGUGUAUAGAGAUAAGCUGCAGAUUAAAGUCCUGGUUGGAAAACUACAACAGCAGAGUUAGAGAGACACCAGGCCUCUCGGCACCUUUCCCCCAGUGAAGGCAGGCGGGCAGUGUUGUAAUUCUCCCACAACAAUCCAUAAUAGUUCUUAUGAAAUAUUGCCAACUAGGGAAGCUCACCUGAGCUUUGGCAUGGAAAGUUUUAUCAGGAAUCAACCUCUUAGGUAUGGCUGGCCACCAUGUAGCUGAAUUUAGAGUCUAGUUUCUCAGUAAACAAGCUGGUAACAGGUGACCCAAGGGCCCUGCCAUAGAUGGGACUGUUGUGUAAACCGUUACCUUACCCCAAGGCUUCAGAGG
rnacentral:lncRNA from 1 species